rnacentral:rRNA from 1 species
GAUGAACGCUGGCGGCGUGCUUAACACAUGCAAGUCGAACGGUGAAGCCAAGCUUGCUUGGUGGAUCAGUGGCGAACGGGUGAGUAACACGUGAGCAACCUGCCCUGGACUCUGGGAUAAGCGCUGGAAACGGCGUCUAAUACUGGAUAUGAGCUCUCAUCGCAUGGUGGGGGUUGGAAAGAUUUUUCGGUCUGGGAUGGGCUCGCGGCCUAUCAGCUUGUUGGUGAGGUAAUGGCUCACCAAGGCGUCGACGGGUAGCCGGCCUGAGAGGGUGACCGGCCACACUGGGACUGAGACACGGCCCAG